GGUGCCGCUUGAAAAUUGCGGCUGCUUCCUCGUGGCUGCUGACCACGACAAAGCCAGUGAUGAGGUUCGCAGUCUUGGAGACGCCGC
rnacentral:tRNA from 1 species